GGUUGAGUCUCGGUGGAGAGGGCAGUGCUUUUGAACAGCAGGCCUCUUCAGCUGUCCUUGAUCUCAUGGGAGAUGAAGGCGAUCGCCUUAACCAGCAGAAGAAAAUGAUGAAAUGGGACCGUAAGAGGAAGCGUUUUGUGAGAGAAACGGGAAAAGAAGACCAGAAGAAGACGAUCAAAACAGACAGCGGUCAGGUUAUCAGUAAGAAGAAGAACAGGAAGAACUUUUAUGAGGAGUGGAAGAAAAAAAUACAAGAUUGAUGAUACAGGAUCUGGAUCAGAUGGAGAAAGAGGCGGAGGAGGCAGGAAGCCAGCAAGAGGUCGUGGCCGUGGCCGACGAGGUCCAAACGUACAGAGCUCCGGUGACCACAAAGCACGCUCGGAGCUGAAAACAAAGGAUCAGAUCAUGAAGCAGCGCAAGAAAAAGCAGAAGCACCAGUUCCUGCAGGGCGGGGGGAUGAGGAAGCUCCGCUCCAAGAACAAAAAGUGGCUCGGAGAAGUUAAAAAGUCAGGUUUUGGAAGGGGUGGCCAUAAGAAAGGCAAGCUGAGGAAGAAACUGUGAGGAGGACAGAGGGUUGAUGGUGUGGAGGACAUCACGAGGAACUGGGUGAUAAGCGUCAGAAUCAUCUGAGAACAUCACCAAAGAUUUUCCUGGCGCUUUGUGUGACUGUAGAUUAAGGAGAAAAUGAUUUGUGCAUCUUUACACUGCAGAAAUGCACGUCACUUCUUCCUUGAUGGCCUGCUGAACGCUGCGUUUGCCACAGAGUUAUGUUUAAUUAUGGUCCACUAACCUAAUAAAGUCUAAUAAAAGUG